rnacentral:lncRNA from 1 species
GUAAACAAAAAUAAAAUAAGAUAAAUAAAAACCAUCCCGUCAAAUCAAGAAACGUCUGGAAGCCAUAAAUUCUGAUGACUAGUCAUUUCCAAUGCUCCAGAACAUCUUGUCGAUAGCUAUCCCCAAAAUCUUUUAACUUUCAUUUUGCUAUCUACUUUCAUUACUCAUCUGCACAUUUCUCCUUCAUUCUGGUUCUUUAAGCUAAGUUUCUGCCGAGGCGAAGGCGUGACCUUCCAGAUCUUCUCCCAUCAGAUAAGUAUCUUCUUCUUUCUCGAGCGCGAUCUUUGCUAAUCUAUGGGCAUAUGUGUUCUCCGAUCUGUGAAUAAACUGAAAAAUAACUUCUUGAAAAUCUGCUUUCUUCUUCUGAAUAUCGCUGAUAAUGGCACCGAUAACUGACUUGUCUGUAGAAGUUGCUUGACAUUUUUUUAUAACUGAUUUUGAAUCCCCCAUGAGUCUGACUGAUUGGAUUCUAAGUGAACUCCCUAAUUUUGCACCUUUCAGGCACGCAUAAGCCUCUGCUGCAAAAGGUGAGGGGACAUCUCUGUGGAUAACCGUCUUUAACACCAUUAAGUUUCCCCUCAAAUCCCACCCUACCAAACCUGUCGCUGAACUGAAAGUUCUACUGUCGAACGCUGCAUUAAAAUAGAUUCUCGUACUCGGUAUGCCUUCUUGUGUUUUAUAACUUCUGUUUAUACUUUCGCUCUUUUUCAAGUUUUUUAAACCUUCAAAUUCUGCCAGAUGUCUUUGAAUAUUAUGUGCUAAAUCUCUACCUGUUGUAUUUCUUCUCUCGUGUACUAAUUGAUUUCUGGAGUACCAUAACAUCCAUAGAGCGUAGCAGAAAAGUAGACAUUGACCGUUGUCGCUUCUCUUGAAGACCCAGGUAAGCCAUUCCCAUAUAUUUUGAUUCGCAUAAUUCAUAACCCAUGAAAGAUUUAGCUGUUGCCAAACUUCAAUUGUCAGAGGGCAUUCGCGAAAAACAUGGACACUUUCUUCAACCGCCGAAUAGCAUCGAGGACAUCUAUCAUUGACAGUAACCCUCCUGUAUCUAAGAUUAGCAAAAUUAAGAAUAAAAUCCCAUGAAAUUCGCCAGAUUGUAAAUGUAAUUUUUGAGGGCAACUGUAAGCUCCAAAGUUUCUUGUAAAAUUCUUUUAAUUCGGUCUGUAAUAAAUAAUCAUUAGGGACCCGAUUAGCAUCUUGUAAUAGUUUAUAGGCAUGCGGACCGAAAACUCGCCAGAAAGUUCCCCUUUCCAAAUCUGAAAGUCCUCAUGUUCAAACUCUGCUAGGGGAGUCUAAAGAAUUUUCUUAGCAAUUUCCUCUUGAAAUGUACUAUUGAUCACAUCCUUUCUCCAUUUCCUGCUAGUUAAAUUGAUAAUAUCCGAAACUAACUUUAAUUCACCUUUGUCUGUUCUAUUUUGUGCACCAAUUUUGUCGACCCCCUGAAUCCAGCUAUCUUCCCAAAUGGAGAUUCUAUCCCCUCUGCCCACCCUCCCAACUCAACCCUUUUUGGAGAAGACUUUUCGCUGCCCAUACGCUCUUCCAGGUAUAAGAAGGUAAAGUUUCCAAUUCUGCAGAUAAGAAACUAGAAACGGAAAAUAUUUUGCUUUAAGAACUCUGGCUAAUAAUGAAUCUGGAAAAUUAAUGAGACGCCAUCCUUUUUUAGCUAGUAACGCAAUAUUGAAUUGCUAAAAUCUCGAAAACCUAAACCUCCACAAAACUUUAAAGAACAUAGAUUAUUCCACGUACACCAAUGAAUCCCUCUAUUGCCUUUUCCUUUUUGCCACCAAAAUUUAGCGACAAUACUCUCCAAUUCUUUACAUAAAGCUUUGGGUAAUAAAAAAACAUGCCAUUGAAUAGGUAGGAAUAGCCUAAAGUAUGGCCUUAAUGAAAACUUCUUUGCCUCCUUGAGAUAAAAACCUGAUACUCCAGCUAUCAAUACUUUUCUUGAAACGAUCCUUCAGAUUCUGAAAUACUUCAUUCUUUUUCCGUCCCACUAUAUUUGGCAACCCCAAGUAUCUUUCUGGAUCGUUCGACCUACGAACCCUCAAUAAGUUGACAACUUGACUUCUGUACUCUUCCAGUGUGUUUUUGCUAAAAAAUACUGAUGAUUUUUCAAAAUUUACGCUUUGCCCCAAACAGGAUUUAUAUUCUUCUAGAAUUUCCUUAAAAAUGAUAGCACCUUUCCUUGUUGCCUCCCCAAAUAAUAUGCAAUCAUCAGCAAAUAGUAGAUGGGAGACCUGUGGUCCAUUCCUGCUAAUCUUGAUACCUUUUGAAAUACCUCUCUUCAUUGCCAAUCUUAAUGGACUCGACAAGCCCUCUCCACACAAAAGAAAUAAAAACGGACUUAGCGGGUCUUCUUGUCUAAGACCUCUGGUUGGCAAAAAUUUCACUCCUCUAAACUCGUUAAUGAUUACUGAGUAGGAAACUGAGGAUAAACAUUUCAUAAUGGCCUUCACCCAGUUAAGGUCAAACCCCAUCUUGACCAUGAUUUCUUCAAUAAAACACCAUUCAACCCUAUCGUAAGCUUUACUCAUAUCAAGUUUCACAGCCAUAAAACCUUUUUUCCCCAGUUUCUUCUGUUUUAACUUGUGCAGUACCUCAUAGGCUAACAAUACAUUGUCUGAUAUCAAUCUCCCUAGCACAAAAGCGUUUUGGGCUUCAUCAAUACAUUUCUUAAUAACUAACUGGAGCCUAUUAGCAAUUACUUUUGCUAAAAUUUUGUAAAGAACAUUACAUAGACUGAUCGGCCUAAACUGCGACAUAUUUAAUGGGCUCUCAACUUUAGGAAUAAGCACUAUAUUUGUAUAAUUAAUUUGACUAAUCUCUAUUUCACCGUUCAGCAUUCAAAGACAAUAAGAAAUUACAUCCUCUCCCACUAUCUGCCAACAUUUCUGGUAAAAAGCUGCUGGAAAGCCAUCCUCCCCUGGUGCCUUUGUUGGGCCCAUGUCAAAUACUACUUCUGUAACUUCUUCCCUGGAAUAUGGAGCUGUAAGUCUUUGAUUAUCUUCCUCAUGAAUACACCGCUCAAUCCUUGAUAAUAUAUGAUCAAAAUUUCCCUUUCUAUCUGCUGAAAAUAGAUUUUGAAAGUAAGCCCGUGUCGUAACCUCAAUAUCCUAAAAAAACACCAUCUCGUCCCCUUCUUCAUUCUUUAAUUUGCGAAUAAAAUUCCUCUUCUUCCGUUGUGAAGCUUGACUGUGGAAGAAUUUUAUAUUUUUAUCUUCAAAUUUCAGCCAAUUUGUUCUAGCCCUCUGUUCCCAAUAACAUUCGUCUUUUUCAAUCUCAAAAUUUAAACUAAUUUUUGUAUCAAUCAGUUCAGCUAGAGUCUUAUCAUCCCUUUUAGCCGCAAACAACUCUUCAAGCUUUUCUGUCAGAACUCUUUUAGAUCUUUUCCUGUUGAAUUGAAUUCUCCUAGCCCAUUCCUUCAGACCUUCUUUAAGUCUCUCCAGUCUCUGUGGCAAUUCCCCUGAAGAAUUCUCCCACAAAAACUUAACCUCACAAAUAAAAUACUCCUCCAAUAGCCACCAAGCUUCAAAUCUGAAAUUACUAUUCCAAACUCGAUCUUCAUCCUUCCUUGUGUCCAAAAGAAGUGGGCAGUGAUUUGAAAAUGUAUGAGUAAGAUGUUGGACUUCCACCUCGGGAAAUAACCUGAACCACUCUGUGUUAGCAACUCCUCUAUCAAGUCGUUCUUGGAUAUUUGUCUCCGGUAACUUACCUCUCUCCCAAGUGAACCAGUUGCCUUCAUAUCCCACAUCGAAUAAAUGACAAUCUUCAAGCGUUUUCCGAAAUAACUCUAUCCUUCUUUCAUUUCUAGGUAGCCCUCCUUUCUUUUCGAAUCCAUACAUGAUUUCGUUAAAGUCGUCACACACCAGCCAUGGCAAUACGUCACCACCUACCAAUCUCUUCAAAACAUCCCAUGAAUCGUGUCUUUCUUGUACAUAAGGGGAAUCGUAAAAUCCUAUAAAUCUCCAUUUAACUCAUUUCUCUUUAUCAUCUAUUAACACAUCAAUAUGUCUUUUCGAAUAACUACGUAGCAUUAUAUCCAUGUUGGUUCUCCAUGCUAAACAUAAUCCUCCUCUUAUACCUUCAGCUUCAACUUCAACUUCAAUUCCAUAUAGGAAACCACAUCUUCUAUGAACAAUUUCCAUUUGUUUUUUACAAAGUUUUGUCUUCAUGAAGAAGACGAUUUGGGGAUUAUUUUUCUUUAGAAAAUACUGAAGUCUUCUAACCGAACGUUGUCUCCCCAAACCACGGACGUUCCAACUUAAAAUUUUUAUUGCUCCCAGUCGGCUAGCCUCUUGGCAGCUGCCGAUGUUAAAAAGGUGGUAUCUUUCAUCUCAACUCUAUUACGCUUUUUCCCUUCCUCCCCUACUAAAGUUACGUCUUCCACAUCAUACUCCAUAGCCACUUUUCCUUGAAGGAAUUCAAGUUUUUCCUUCCCUUGGUCAAAAGAUAGGCCUCCCCUUUCUAAACUAAACCCCAAUAUUGAAUCAAUAGAGUUCAUUUUACUCCUAUUCAAAUUCUCAUCCCUUGAACUCAUCCCCAAUGAUUUGUGCCACAUCCAAUUACCUUCACUUUUACCUUCUCCCUCUUUUCGUAACCAAAUACUACUCGUUGCAAAAGCUCUACGAUAUGGGGCUCGCAAAGAUAAAUCCCAACCCAUCUCAAUGAUUCUGCUCCCAUCAUCAUUCUUGCCUCACAAUAGGAAUCAUUAUGCCCCAAACGACCACAGAAGAAACAAAACAGCGACAAACGUUCAUAUUUAAAUUUAACAUACGAACACAACCCAACGCUCAUAACUUGCUUUUUCCUUCUCAAUGGUUUCCUAACAUCAAUCUGCACUCUAAUCCUCAUGUAAUUGCUAUUUUCCUUACCCAGAAUUGAAGCAUCAUACUCUAGGAAAACUCCAAUAAAAUUACCCAAUUAUAUUGCUAAAUUCACAGAAAAUAAACCAGCUGGAACAUCAUGAACUUGUACCCAAAAGGGAACAAAAACAAGGGGUAUAUUCAAUGGAUCUUCACCCCUCUUCAAUUUGCAUAGAAUUAAUAAGUGGUUAUUAAAAGUCCACGGUAGACCUUUUAAAACUCUCUCCAUAUCCAUAUGAUGAAAAAACUUGAAAAGGUACCUUUUCUCCCCUAGAUCUCUAAUUUGCACCCCACAGACAGGAUGCCAUAAGUUAGCCAGAGUGCUCUUCAUGGCCGGAAAAUUAAUUAUACUUGCUGUUAAAAAGCAACCCACAAGUUGAUAAUCUGUUACUUCUCUUUGCGCAGAUGGAUCUACCUGGACUAUCAAGACUUCUUCUUCUUCUUCAUUGAUCGAAAGGUUUGCUAAUUCAGUCUCCAUACUUGCACCGCCUCCAAGAUUAAACAGGAAGAGUAUCUGGAAGCCGACAAACACCAAGACUUGAGAAUAAAAAAGCCAAAACAAGACAAAAUCAAGAAAAACCUAAUAACUCAUGCCAGCGGCGGCAGACAAAAACGUGCUAGGGCAGCAGACGGGAUCAGCUAAAUUUUUCGAAAAAUUUUAAACUAAUAUAAUGAUAAAAUUAUAUUUUAACUUAAUUUUGGUCCCCAUAAUCCCAAAACUAAAAUCAUUAACAUUUAUCCAUCUAACCAAAAAACAUAAUUAUAUUAAAAAAGUAAAAAAAAAAGAUUUAAAGGGAAAGCGUACAGCUAGACACGCUUUUCUGCCACCUGUGCAAAAAGGACGCACUCUAACCAAAAUCGACCUAUUUCUCUAAAUUAAAAAAAAAAUUAUUUGGCCAAUAAUUUUUUUGACAUAAAUGACUAAUUUAUCCAUGGAAAUCAAGAAUUUAAAUGAAAAUUAUACAAAAAAAAAAACAUGAAAUUAGCACAAAAACACUAUUUUACAUAUAAACUAAUUUUUUAGUAAUUUUCUAAUUGUAUUAGGC